UAGGUGCAAGUGAGUAAGAUUCGGGUGGAAUUGGUUCGUCUCAGAAAUCCCUGGAGUCACGUGGAGUGGAGCAGUGCCUGGAGCGAUGGCUCCAAAGAGUGAGAUCAAGUCUUACCAGAGGAUAAGGCCAAGCUCGGCUGAUGAUGGAGAUUUCUGGAUGACAUAUGCAGACUACAUUCAGCGAUAUUCAGUGCUAGAGAUUUGUAACUUGACUCCAGAUACUCCAAACGAUGAUAAUUUGGGAUGUUGGAACUCUUCCCACUUUGAGGGCAUAUGGAAAGUGGGCACUAUGGCUGGUGGCUGCCGUAACUUCCCAGGUGACUGGCUAAGUUUGCCCAAUGCCAGACUUUACAGCAUUGAACAGCAUCAACAGGAUUGACUUCUACAUCUACAAGGUUCCAAAUAAGGUGUGUAUUGCAUGUAGCAGUGGUGUAGUCCAGUCUGAAGUUUAUGGUAUACUUCCAGAACCUCCAGUCUGCGUGCUACUAAUACGAAGCCAGCCUUUAUUCCCUUCUACCUUCAAACCACCUUUGUGACACAUAUAUGGUCAAAACUUUGCGGAUACCUGAGCACCACACCCAUAUGCGCUUGUUGAACCUCCCAUUCCAAAAACAUGAGCAUUAAUAUGGAUUUGGUCUCCACCUUCCUGCCACUGGUGUCGGGCGAGGAGCAUAUGAGUCAGUGUUCCAGUUCAUCCCAAAAGUGUCCAGUAGGGUUGAAGUCAGGGCUCUUUGCAGGCCACUAGAGUUCUUCCACACCAAAUUUAGGUUAUUUCAUGCACAAUAGUUUGUAUAAAAAGUUUAGCAGAGUGACAUUACCAAGAACAAGACGUCCCUCUUCUGAAACCAUUUCUCUGCUGACUUGGAUUUGUGCUUUGGGUCAUUACCAUGCUGGAAGGUGACAUUUUUCUUGAUGUUCACCUGUCUAACAGAGGCCUGUAAGUUUUGUGCCAAAACCUAUUGGAAUUUGGAGCUAUCCAUGAUUCCCUCUAUCAUGACCAGAGAGCCCCAGUCCCAGCUGAAGAAAAAUAUCCCCGUAGCAUGAUGCUCCCACCACCAUGCUUCACUUGUAUUUGCACCAAAGAUAUCUUUUAUAAUUACACCCAAUUUAUUAUUUUUUGUACCUUAGUCUCAUCAGACCAUAAUACACUUAUGGCUUCUGUCUAGCCACUCUACCCCAUAGCACAGAAAUGUGAAGAAUAUGAGACAUUGUUGUCACAUUCAAGGAGGGACCAGUACUUGGCAGAUAUUCCUGCAACUCAUUUAAUGUUGCUGUAGGACUCUUGGCAGCCUCCCUGAUGAGUUUUCUUCUUGUCCUUUCAUCAAUUUCAGAGGGACGUCUUGUUCUUGGUAAUGUCACUCUGGUGCCCCAUUUUCUCCACUUGUUGAUGAUGGCCUACACAAUGUUCCAUGGUACAUCUAAUGUUUUGUACCCCUCUCCUGAUCAAUAGCUUUAGACAAUAAGAUCCUGUAUAUGCUUAGAGAAUUCAACAGCACUUUUAUUUAACUGUUUUGUUUCAAAUUACUGUUGCUAAAGGUUGUUCUACAUGUUACUGAAAGAUAAUGUAUACUUAUUUUUUCCCACCUGGUUUCUGAAUGUAAGUUUACUUUUGGGAAAAAUUUAAAAUAUUGAAGUCUGUUGUGUUUUUUUUGUUGUUGUUGUCACCUGAGGUUAUUUGUUUGUUCGUAGAAGUUGGUGAGGACCACUCAAUUGUUCUUUAGGUCCUAAUAAAUAAAACCUAGAACUGAAGGACGGUGUACUCUCCUUUUCCCAUGACUGUGUUGUUAAAUUUUUCCUAAUUUUAUUCUGGGGUAUCGUUGUUUUCGUCUUGACCUUAUCUGAGAUCAAGAUUAAGACAAGAUUGUCUCAGUCCUAGGGCCAGUUUGUGUAUUUACU